UACGUAGGUGGCAAGCGUUAUCCGGAUUUAUUGGGCGUAAAGAGAACGCAGGCGGUCUUUUAAGUCUGAUGUGAAAGCCUUCGGCUUAACCGGAGUAGUGCAUUGGAAACUGGGAGACUUGAGUGCAGAAGAGGAGAGUGGAACUCCAUGUGUAGCGGUGAAAGCGUAGAUAUAUGGAAGAACACCAGUGGCGAAAGCGGCUCUCUGGUCUGUAACUGACGCUGAGGUUCGAAAGCGUGGGUAGCAAACAGG
rnacentral:rRNA from 1 species